rnacentral:rRNA from 1 species
GUGGGGAAUAUUGCACAAUGGGCGCAAGCCUGAUGCAGCAACGCCGCGUGAGGGACGACGGCCUUCGGGUUGUAAACCUCUUUUAGCAGGGAAGAAGCGAAAGUGACGGUACCUGCAGAAAAAGCACCGGCUAACUACGUGCCAGCAGCCGCGGUAAUACGUAGGGUGCAAGCGUUGUCCGGAAUUAUUGGGCGUAAAGAGCUCGUAGGCGGUCUGUCGCGUCUGCUGUGAAAACUGGAGGGUCAACCUCCAGCCUGCAGUGGGUACGGGCAGAGUAGAGUGCGGUAGGGGAGAUUGGAAUUCCUGGUGUAGCGGUGGAAUGCGCAGAUAUCAGGAGGAACACCGAUGGCGAAGGCAGAUCUCUGGGCCGUAACUGACGCUGAGGAGCGAAAGCGUGGGGAGCGAACAGGAUUAGAUACCCGGGUAGUCC